GAUGAACGCUGGCGGCGUGCCUAAUACAUGCAAGUCGAGCGAACGGACGAGAAGCUUGCUUCUCUGAUGUUAGCGGCGGACGGGUGAGUAACACGUGGAUAACCUACCUAUAAGACUGGGAUAACUUCGGGAAACCGGAGCUAAUACCGGAUAAUAUUUUGAACCGCAUGGUUCAAAAGUGAAAGACGGUCUUGCUGUCACUUAUAGAUGGAUCCGCGCUGCAUUAGCUAGUUGGUAAGGUAACGGCUUACCAAGGCAACGAUGCAUAGCCGACCUGAGAGGGUGAUCGGCCACACUGGAACUGAGACACGGUCCAGACUCCUACGGGAGGCAGCGGUAGGGAAUCUUCCGCAAUGGGCGAAAGCCCGACGGAGCAACGCCGCGUGAGUGAUGAAGGUCUUCGGAUCGUAAAACUCUGUUAUUAGGGAAGAACAUAUGUGUAAGUAACUGUGCACAUCUUGACGGUACCUAAUCAGAAAGCCACGGCUAACUACGUG
rnacentral:rRNA from 1 species